rnacentral:rRNA from 1 species
CCUACGGGAGGCUGCAGUGGGGAAUAUUGCACAAUGGGCGCAAGCCUGAUGCAGCCAUGCCGCGUGUGUGAAGAAGGCCUUCGGGUUGUAAAGCACUUUCAGCGGGGAGGAAGGCGUUAAGGUUAAUAACCUUGUCGAUUGACGUUACCCGCAGAAGAAGCACCGGCUAAUUCCGUGCCAGCAGCCGCGGUAAUACGGAGGGUGCAAGCGUUAAUCGGAAUUACUGGGCGUAAAGCGCACGCAGGCGGUCUGUCAAGUCGGAUGUGAAAUCCCCGGGCUCAGCCUGGGAACUGCAUUCGAAACUGGCAGGCUAGAGUCUUGUAGAGGGGGGUAGAAUUCCAGGUGUAGCGGUGAAAUGCGUAGAGAUCUGGAGGAAUACCGGUGGCGAAGGCGGCCCCCUGGACAAAGACUGACGCUCAGGUGCGAAAGCGUGGGGAGCAAACAGGAUUAGAUACCCUUGUAGUC